GACGAACGCUGGCGGCGUGCUUAACACAUGCAAGUCGAACGGUAAGGCCCCUUCGGGGGUCCACGAGUGGCGAACGGGUGAGUAACACGUGAGCAACCUGCCCUUGACUCUGGAAUAACAGUUGGAAACAGCUGCUAAUACUGGAUAUUCAUCGUCUCCUUCCUGGGGGUGGUGGAAAGCCCCGGCGGUCAGGGAUGGGCUCGCGGCCUAUCAGCUUGUUGGUGAGGUAAUGGCUCACCAAGGCUUCGACGGGUAGCCGGCCUGAGAGGGCGACCGGCCACACUGGGACUGAGAUACGGCCCAGACUCCUACGGGAGGCAGCAGUGGGGAAUAUUGCACAAUGGGCGCAAGCCUGAUGCAGCAACGCCGCGUGCGGGAUGACGGCCUUCGGGUUGUAAACCGCUUUCAGUAGGGACGAAGGGUGACUGACGGUACCUACAGAAGAAGGACCGGCUAACUACGUG
rnacentral:rRNA from 1 species